CGGGUGGCAGCAGUCGAGAAUUUUUCUCAAUGGGCGAAAGCCUGAAGGAGCGACGCCGCGUGGGGGAUGAAGGGCUUCGGCUCGUAAACCCCUGUCAUUUGCGAACAAAUUGCAUCGCAGUAACUGUCGGUGCAUUGCUUGUAGCAGAAGAGGAAGGGACGGCUAACUCUGUGCCAGCAGCCGCGGUAAUACAGAGGUCCCAAGCGUUGUUCGGAUUCACUGGGCGUAAAGGGUGCGUAGGCGGUGGGGCAAGUCUGAUGUGAAAGCUCUGGGCCUAACCCAGAAAUUGCAUUGGAAACUGCUUCGCUAGAGUCUCAAAGGGGAGGCUGGAAUUCUCGGUGUAGCAGUGAAAUGCGUAGAUAUCGAGAGGAACACCAGUAGCGAAAGCGAGCCUCUGGGAGAGAACUGACGCUGAGGCACGAAAGCUAGGGGAUCAAACAGGAUUAGAUACCCGAGU
rnacentral:rRNA from 1 species